rnacentral:rRNA from 1 species
CCACAAUGAAUAUACCGGUUCUUGUUAGAUCACCGAAGUCAAGCAUCAUUGGGCGCGGUCAGUACUUGGGUGGGUGACCACCUGGGAACAUCGCGUGCCGUU